rnacentral:misc_RNA from 1 species
GGGAUCAAUAUGAGGUGCAAUUAGCAGAGUCGUUUUGCAUCUGCAUGCAUUAUUAUUAUUUUACUAGUUCAUAGGCUCUGUUCAUUCAAUCAUGAUAGUUCUAGUAAUGCUAAACUGAAUCAUAGCAAUAUAUUAUUAUAGUCUUAAUAUUUAUAGCUCCAGAAGAUAAAUAUUUACCAUUCAUUGUCAUUUCUUUGUAUCUACAUCUCCACAGUUACAGAAAUUAUAUGCUUUUACUUUUAUUUAAGAUACCCAUAUUUUUCUAGAGAGUUUAUUUGCUGUGGAUUAAAG